AAGACUGGGAUAACUACCGGAAACGGUAGCUAAUACCGGAUAAUUAAAUUUGCUGCAUGGCAGAUUUAUGAAAGGCGGAGCAAUCUGUCACUUGAGGAUGGGCCUGCGGCGCAUUAGCUAGUUGGUGAGGUAACGGCUCACCAAGGCGACGAUGCGUAGCCGACCUGAGAGGGUGAACGGCCACACUGGGACUGAGACACGGCCCAGACUCCUACGGGAGGCAGCAGUAGGGAAUCUUCCGCAAUGGGCGAAAGCCUGACGGAGCAACGCCGCGUGAGUGAUGAAGGUUUUCGGAUCGUAAAGCUCUGUUGCCAGGGAAGAACGUCUCAUAGAGUAACUGCUAUGAGAGUGACGGUACCUGAGAAGAAAGCCCCGGCUAACUACGUGCCAGCAGCCGCGGUAAUACGUAGGGGGCAAGCGUUGUCCGGAAUUAUUGGGCGUAAAGCGCGCGCAGGCGGUUCUUUAAGUCUGGUGUUUAAACCCGAGGCUCAACUUCGGGACGCACUGGAAACUGGGGAACUUGAGUGCAGAAGAGGAGAGUGGAAUUCCACGUGUAGCGGUGAAAUGCGUAGAUAUGUGGAGGAACACCAGUGGCGAAGGCGACUCUCUGGGCUGUAACUGACGCUGAGGCGCGAAAGCGUGGGGAGCGAACAGGAUUAGAUACCCUGGUAGUCCACGCCGUAAACGAUAAAUGCUAGGUGUUAGGGGUUUCGAUACCCUU
rnacentral:rRNA from 1 species